GAUCUGAAGUAGAAAGCCGUUCCAAGUGCUUCGAUUUUCAGAGGGAAUUCCUCGGGUCUUCGAUCUAACCUCUCUCUUUUGCUGCGCACCAACACGUACGCACCGCCCUCCGACUGAUCUCAACACCUCCGUGGAGCCGAAAGGGACAGCUCCAGGAGAAAAAGUGUGAGAGAGAAAGAGAGAGAGUCACGAACGGUCUCAGGCACGCGCGCGCCUGGCGCUAUAGGUCGACCUCGUCUCGAAAUUAGAAAGCCUAACCAACCAUGGCAGUAGAAGAGGAAGACAGAUGACUCGUCAUGUAAAGACAAGCACUGCAGACAGCAGGGAUCUGAAGACAUCUCAUUAAGUGCUUUCAGAGCAGCUGUCUCUUCAGGUGAUCUUACCCAAGUCAUAGUCAUAUCCCGUUAAAAGGAAUAAUGCCAAGUUUUCUGAUAAGCCACUGUUUUUGUUUACAGAAUACCGAGAAACGCGACGCAAUUCUGGCAGACACAGCGCAGGUCGUGUAAUGACGGGGAUGAUCCAGGGUACGUUUUUCCACGGCUGCUUCUCAGAAGACACGCUGCGUGAGGGGAACGUCUCCAUCAACUUACCAAGACUGUGAAUUUGAGGAACCAGCACCCCCCCCUGCUGUGUUCCAAACCAUCAGUCAUUCACAUGCAGCUCGUUCCUGGCGGGGCUUCAAACACGCUUCAGUCUCAGCGGAGGCUGAAAGGAGGCCCGACACGAAGAGGGGGAAAAAAGACUUGAGACCAGCCAGGAGGAGAUGCCCAUCCUUUGACCAGCCAUGCAGCUGUUGAAGAGCCUGCCAAUGACAGAAGGAUGAGAAAAUGAUCAUCCUUUAGUGUUGUUCGUGGUGUAGGUGUUGGUACCGUAUAUGAUCACCUCUCAACUCCAAUUGAUGUAAGACAUAACAUAACGAUGUUUUUUUCACAUGAUCGCUGACUGUUAUUGCAUUUUUUUUUUACCUCGUUGUCCGUUUCAGGUAUUUAAGUUCCCCAAACCAUCCGCUAGAUGGCGCCUACUUUCCCGUGUUCAGGAUUUAAGUAUUCUUUGAGAGGGCUGUCAUGCUGUCGACCUUGUGUACAUGUGCCGUACUGGUAGAGCAGUGCUCUAAGGAUGCGCAAUUGCACAGCUGUUUUAAUUGAUUGUUUUGUUUGGUGCAUUUCAGUCGUAAUCGAUUGCGCAUUUCCGCAAUAAACACAGUCAUUGACAAUUAUGUAAUGUAAACAUGAUGUAAACAUGUUUCUUUUUGACUUUGUAAAAAUAGUUUUACUCAUGUGUUUUGGGGGUUUUACUUUUACAAUUAAUGCCACGAAAAA